AGGAUGAACGCUGGCGGUAUGCUUUACACAUGCAAGUCGAACGCAAGUUUUUAACUUGAGUGGCGGACGGGUGAGUAACACGUGAGAAUUCGCCUUUAGGCGGGGAAUAACUAUGGGAAACCAUAGCUAAUGCCCCAUAUGCUCGCAAGAGUGAAAGGAGCAAUCCACCCAAAGAGAAGCUCGCGGCUGAUUAGCUAGUUGGUGGGGUAAAGGCCUACCAAGGCGACGAUCCAUAGCUGGUCUGAGAGGAUGAUCAGCCACAUUGGGACUGAGACACGGCCCAAACUCCUACGGGAGGCAGCAGUGGGGAAUAUUGGACAAUGGGCGCAAGCCUGAUCCAGCCAUGCCGCGUGAGUGAUGAAGGCCCUAGGGUUGUAAAGCUCUUUCACCGGUGAAGAUAAUGACGUAACCGGAGAAGAAGCCCGCUAACUCGUGCCAGCAGCCGC
rnacentral:rRNA from 1 species